GACAGAGGGGGCAAGCGUUGCUCGGAAUCACUGGGCGUAAAGGGCGCGUAGGCGGGAUGGCAAGUCAGUCGUGAAAUCUCUCGGCUCAACCGAGAAACGUCGGCUGAUACUGCCGUUCUUGAGGGAUGCAGAGGAGACUGGAAUUCCCGGUGUAGCGGUGAAAUGUGUAGAGAUCGGGAGGAACACCGGUGGCGAAGGCGGGUCUCUGGGCAUCUCCUGGACGCUGAGG
rnacentral:rRNA from 1 species